ensembl:snoRNA AC136161.1
GUUAGAAUUUUUGAGAUGGGUAAGUGGCCCCACCCCUCAGCCAGGAGCCAUGCCUAUCCACUGAAUAUGUUAAGAUUAAGAAUUAUAGCAUCUGCUGGCUGGGGAAAAAGAUUGGAUAGAAAACAUUAUUCUAUUCAUUUACUCCCCAGCCUACAAAU